UACGGGAGGCAGCAGUGGGGAAUAUUGCACAAUGGGCGCAAGCCUGAUGCAGCCAUGCCGCGUGUAUGAAGAAGGCCUUCGGGUUGUAAAGUACUUUCAGUCGUGAGGAAGGUGUUAAGGUUAAUAACCUUAGCAAUUGACGUUAGCGACAGAAGAAGCACCGGCUAACUCCGUGCCAGCAGCCGCGGUAAUACGGAGGGUGCGAGCGUUAAUCGGAAUUACUGGGCGUAAAGGGCACGCAGGCGGUUAAUUAAGUUGGAUGUGAAAUCCCCGGGCUUAACCUGGGAAUGGCAUUCAAGACUGGUUAGCUAGAGUCUUGUAGAGGGGGUAGAAUUCCGAUGUGUAGCGGUGAAAUGCGUAGAGAUGUGGAGGAAUACCGGUGGCGAAGGCGGCCCCUGGGACAAAGACUGACGCUCAUGUGCGAAAGCGUGGGGAGCAAACAGGAUUAGAUACC
rnacentral:rRNA from 1 species